rnacentral:rRNA from 1 species
GACGAACGCUGGCGGCGUGCCUAAUACAUGCAAGUCGAACGCAUUUUCUUUCACCGUAGCUUGCUACACCGAAAGAAAAUGAGUGGCGAACGGGUGAGUAACACGUGGGUAACCUGCCCAUCAGCGGGGGAUAACACUUGGAAACAGGUGCUAAUACCGCAUAAUUCCAUUUACCGCAUGGUAGAUGGAUGAAAGGCGCUUUUGCGUCACUGAUGGAUGGACCCGCGGUGCAUUAGCUAGUUGGUGGGGUAACGGCCUACCAAGGCUGCGAUGCAUAGCCGACCUGGGAGGGUGAUCGGCCACACUGGGACUGAGACACGGCCCAGACUCCUACGGGAGGCAGCAGUAGGGAAUCUUCGGCAAUGGACGCAAGUCUGACCGGGCAACGCCGCGUGAGUGAAGAAGGUUUUCGGAUCGUAAAACUCUGUUGUUAGAGAAGAACAAGGAUGAGAGUGGAAAGUUCAUCCCUUGACGGUAUCUAACCAGAAAGCCACGGCUAACUACGUG